GACAGAGGGUGCAAGCGUUAUUCGGAUUUACUGGGCGUAAAGGGUGUGUAGGCGGUCGCGCAAGUCUGGUGUGAAAUCUUCACCACUCAACGGGAAGAGGUCACUGGAAACUGCAUGACUUGAGUUUGGUAGAGGCUAGCGGAAUUCCUGUUGUAGCGGUGGAAUGUGUAGAUAUCAGGAAGAACACCUGUGGCGAAGGCGGCUAGCUGGGCCAAUACUGACGCUGAGACACGAAAGCGUGGGGAGCAAACGGG
rnacentral:rRNA from 1 species